rnacentral:rRNA from 1 species
UACGUAGGGGGCAAGCGUUGUCCGGAUUUAUUGGGCGUAAAGAGCUCGUAGGUGGUUUGGUAAGUCGGAUGUGAAAUCUCCAGGCUCAACCUGGAGGGGUCAUUCGAUACUGCCAUGACUAGAGGUCGGUAGGGGAGUGUGGAAUUCCUGGUGGAGCGGUGAAAUGCGCAGAUAUCAGGAGGAACACCGAUGGCGAAGGCAGGUCUCUGGGCCACUACUGACGCUGAGAAGCGAAAGCAUGGGGAGCGAACAGG